CUGCAGCGGAAGCGCAGCUCCUCUCAGGCAGUUCAAGGGGCCAUGACACAGAGCUACGUGAGGCAGUGGCUGCUGUCUUCGGCUCCCACUGUAGUGUAAGGUGUCUCUAUUGUUAAUUUGGUGCAUAAAAGUUUUGGAGAGCCAAAGUAGGCCAGUUUUGUUUUCUUUUCUUUUUACCAACCAAGUGUUCCUUUAUAUUCUGAGCAGGUGUCUCUUGUUAAUUUGGUGCAUAAAAGUUUUGGAGAGCCAAAGUAGGCCAGUUUUCUUUUCUUCUUACCAACCAAGUGUUCCUUUAUAUUCUGAGCAGGUGUCUCUAUUGUUAAUUUGGUGCAUAAAAGUUUUGGAGAGCCAAAGUAGGCCAGUUUUCUUUUCUACUUACCAACCAAGUGUUCCUUUAUAUUCUGAGCAGGUGUCUCUAUAUUUAUUUUUGUUUUUUUGCCGAAGUAGGCCUGUUUUGUUUGGUGUUUUGGUGCAUAGUUUUGUGUUGGUUUUCUGAGCAGAUAUGGAGUACGCUCCUGCAUGUUACCAUGGCCACAUCGGAGGGGUCCCGCGACGUCACUUCCGGGUCAUGCUGACGCGAACGGAGGCGCCGAGCGGAGGCUCCGACGGGCGGCCAGCUGGUAACGCUGAGAAGUUGGAACACACGUGUAAAGGGGCCACCAUCCCCUAUCCAGCCGACAUCCCCCAUCCAGAUAACAUCCCCCAUCCAGCCGCCAUCCCCCAUCCAGCCGCCAUCCCCGCCUUCAGAAUGGGCAGCAGAGGCCCCGGAGCCACUUCAGGGAGGUGGUCAAGUGGUAGAGGAGAAUGUUGCAGUUGGACAUACAACAUCCUUUGCGGGCAUUCUGGCCAGCAUGCAACAGCACAUUCAAGCCUUGCUGGCCAAUGUGGAGCUACUGCAAAAAAAUUCUUAAAAAUACAUGUUUAAUUUAAAAAAAAAAAAGUUAAA